CCUCGCGAGGCUGCGGCUGGGGCAGAAAUCCGUCUCUGUGAGCGGAGGAGGGUGUGCUUAUGCGAGAGCAGGUUUUGGGAGCUCACUAAAGCAGGUCAGUCCCUCUGUUUGCGCCGUUGUCUGUGGGUCGUUUAAUUCCGGGCGCAGCUGAUCUGUAACUUCCCUCACUGGCGAGGUCUCCCAGUUACCACCGGGACAAUCCGAGCAAGGUCUGGGCCCCUCGCUGCCCCCGGUGAAGUGCCGCGUCUCCGCUUGGCCAUCCGUGGAUUCAGCAUCCCCACCUUAGCACCUCCCGCCGGCUUUUCCAUUGAGAGCAAAACCACGAACUCACUUUUGAGAGAUGCUGGCGCUCCCCUCAUCAAUAUUUCUUUUUUUUUUUCUGUUUGCUUACUUUUAACUAACCUUUUAUUGAUAAAUAUAACACAAUUUUAUUCUGAAAUAUAAACCAAAGAUAAGUAUAAUUAUGAACAGCCAAGUCAUUAGAGCGAAAAAAGAAUAGUGUCAGGUUCUUCACAGAUACACUUCCUGAGAAAACCACUAGCCCGACUUUUAUAACACUUUGCUUUUCUUAUUUAUAUUUAUUUAUUUAUUUAUUUUACCAAAAGCAGAUACUUGACUCUUUGCUUUUCUUUACGGUUUAUCACGCAUACUUGAAAACUGGAUUUAUGACAAAGGUGGCAUCAUACAGCCAUGGAGAAAAGAUGGUCUAUUCAGUGAAGGUUCUAUGACAAUAUGAAGGCCGGGCACGGUGGCUCACGCCUGUAAUCCCAGCACUUUGGGAGGCUGAGGUGGGCGGAUCACGAGGUUAAGAGAUCGAGACCAUCCUGGCCAACAUGGUGAAACCCUGUCUCUACUAAAAAGUACAAAAAUUAGCUGGGUGUGGUGGCACACACCUGUAGUCCCAGCUAUUCAGGAGGCUGAAGCAGGAGAAUCGCUUGAACCGGGAGGCGGAGGUUGCAGUGAGCGGAGAUCACACCACUGCACUUCAGCCUGGGCAACAGAGGGAGACUCCGUCUCAAAAAAAAAAACAAAACAGAAAACAGGACCUCUAUCUCUCAUUUCAUCACAAAAAUCAAUUGUAGCUGGAUUAAGACCUAAAUGUGAAAUCCUAAACUAUAAAGUCUUCAGAAUAUAAUAUAGGAAAAUAUCUUUGGACUUCAGAAUAGGUAAAUAUUUUAAAACAAAAAUAGAAAAACAUUAAAUUGGCCAGGCAUGGUGGCUCAUGCCUGUAAUACCAACACUUUGGGAGGCCCAGGUAGGCGGAUCACUUGAGGUCAGGAGUUGAGACCAGCCUGGCCAACAUAGUGAAACCCCGUUUCUAGUAAAAAUACAAAAAAUUAGCCAAGUGUGGUGGCAGGUGCCUGUAAUCUCAGCUACUUGGGAGGCUGAGGCAGGAGAAUCACUUGAACCUGGGAGGCGGAGUUUGCAGUGAGCCGACAACAGGCCACUGCACUCCAGCCUGGGUGAUAAAGUGAGACUCUGUCUCAAAAAAAAAAAGGAAAAAAAGAAAGAGAAAAAAGGAAAGAAAAAGAAAGAAAGAGAAAGAAAGAAAAGAAAAGAAAGAAAGAGAAACAUUAAAUUAAGACAACUACAGGCUGAGUGCAGUGGCUCACACACCUGUAAUCCUAGAACUCUGGGAGGCCGAAGUGGGUGGAUCCCUUGAGCUCAGUUCAGAAACCAGCUGGGGUAACAUGGUGAAAACACGUCUCUACAAAAAAUACAAAAAUUAGCUGGGGGUGGUGAUACGUGCCUGUAGUCCCAGCUACUCUGGUGCGUCAGUUGGGAAAAUUUUGAAGUGACUUGUGUUUUAGAUAAUAUUAUCAAUCAAUUAUAGGUCUCCUGAGUGUCAUAAUGAUUUUGUGGUUAUGUAGGAAAAUGUUCUUUUUCUUAGAAAUAUGUAAGUUGAGGCCAGGUACGGUGGCUCUCGCCUGUAAUCCUAGCACUUUGGGAGGCCGAGGCGGGCGGAUCACCUGAAGUCAGGAGUUCAAGACCAGCCUGGCCAACAUGGUGAAACCCUGUCUCUACUAAAAUACAAAAAUUAGCCGGGCAUGAUGGCAGGUGCCUGUAAUCCUAGCUACUCGGGAGGCUGAGAUGGGAGAAUCGCUUGAAACCGGGAGAUGGUGGUUGCAGUGAGCCGAGAUCAUGCCACUGCACUCCAGCCUGGGUGGCUGACUGAGACUCUUGUCUCAAAAAAAAAAAAAAAAAAAAAUGGAAUUUAAGUGUAUUAAAUAGUCUGUUCUCAUGCUGCUAAUAAAGACAUACCUGAGAUUGGGUAAUUUAUAAAGGAAAGAGAUUUAAUUGACUCACGGCUCCACAUGGCGGGGGAGGCCUCACAAUCAUGGAGGAAGGUGAAGGAGGAGCAAAGUCACCUCUUACAUGGUGGCAGGCAAGAGAGAACAUGUGCAGGGGAACACACCUUUAUAAAACCAUCAGGUCAGCUGGGUGUGGUGCCUUAUGCCCGUAAUCCCAGCACUUUGGGAGGCCAUGGCUGGUGGAUCACCUAAGGUCAGGAGUUCAAGACCAGCCUGGCCAACAUGGUGAAACCCUAUCUCUACUAAAAAUACAAAAAAUUAGCCAAGCAUGGUGGCAGACGCCUGUAAUCCCAGCUAUUCGGGAGGCUGAGGCAGGAGAAUCACUUGAACCUGGGAGGCGGAGGUUGUGGUGAGCUGAGAUCGCGCCACUGCACUCCAGCCUGGGCAACAAGAGUGAAAUUCCAUCUCAAAAACAAAAACGAAACAAAACAAAACCAUCAGAUCUUGUGAGACUUAUUCACUAUCACGAGAACAGCAUGGGAAAGACCUGCCCCCACGAUUCAAUUACCUCCUACCAGGUACCUCUUCCAUGAUAUGUGGGAAUUAUGGGAGCUACACUUCAAGAUGAGAUUUGGGUUGGGAGACAACCAAACCAUAUCAUUGAGGAAAUGCUUUUUAAUCCAUUGAGAUAUGAGAAGGCAUUUCUGGAUUGAGGCUACAAAAACUUUCUGCCUCUUCCCCAACAUAACCUUUCUUACUUGAGAUGUAAACUGAAUGCCAGGAAAACCCCUCCCCAACCCCUUCACACAUGGACCACUCCUCAAAUGGGGUUUGAGGGGCAAUGACACUGGGUAGAGUGAAGCAGAAGAGAUUUAGAAACAGUCAUGGAAUUUGUGGGGAAAAUAAAUAUCAAAAACAUAGUACCAUAUAUUCCCCAAAACUUUCAGCCUAAAGACUGUGGGUCUCAAAACUGAGAAAAGAAUGCCCUUUUCCCCAAAAGGCUAUCCUAGGAAGUCUGAGUCCUUAAGGCCCACCUGUAUGCAAAAGUCACUGAUUUGGUUCUUCCAUCUCCAGGUCUGUAACCAUCAAAAUACUGUUAGACACAAAUGGCCCAUUUUCCUCUGUGUCCAUUCUUCCCUCCUUGGUGUUUUGGAGCACAGGACUGUACCCCUAACAUUGUACUGACUACAGUCUACCAUAUAUCGGAGUAAGUCUUUAUGUGAUUACUCCCAGAGCUGCACUGUCCAAUACAGUAGCCACUAGUCAUAUGUGGCUCUUGAACACUUGAAAUGUGGCUAGUCCAAAAUGAAAUGUGCUAUAAUUAUAACAUUUACAAGCACUUUGAAGCUGAGUACAAAAAAAAGGUUAAAUAACUCACUAAUAAUGUUUACAUUGAUUAAAUGUUGAGAUGAUAAUGUUUUGGAUAUAUUGGUGAUAUGGUUUGGCUCUGUGUUUUCCACCCAAAUCUCACCUUGAAUUUUAAUAAUCCCCAUGUGUCAUGGGAGGGACCCAGUGGUAGGCAAUUGAAUCAUGGGGACGAGUUUUUCCUGUGCUGUUCCCGUGAUAGUGAAUAAGUCUCACAAUAUCUGAUGGUUUUAUAAAGGGGAGUUCCCCUACACAAGCUUCUUGCCUGCUGCCAUGUAAGACAUGCCUGCUCUUCCUUCGCCUCCCGCCAUGAUUGUGAGGCCUCUCCAGCCAUGUGCAAUGGUGAGGCCAUUAAACCUCUUUCCUUUAUAAAUUACCCAGUCUUGGGUAUGUCUUUAUUAGCAGCAUGAGAACAGACUAAUAAAACUGAGUUAAAUAAAACAUCUUAAAAUUAAGCUGGGUGUGGUGGCUCAUGCCUGUAAUUCCAGCACUAUGGGAGGCCAAGGUGGGUGAAUCACCUGAGGUCAGGAUUUCAAGACCAGCCUGGCCAACAUGGCAAAACCCCAUCUCUACUACAAAUACAGAAAUUAGCCAGGCAUAGUGGCAUGUGCCUGUAGUCCCAGCUACUCAGGAGGCUGAGGCAUGAGAAUCUCUUGAACCCAGGAGGCAGAGGUUGCAGUGAACCAAGACUGCACUACUGCACUCCAGCCUGGGCAACAGAGUGACUCUGUCUUUAAAAAAAAAUUAAUUUUACUUGCUGUUUUUUGUUGUAUUAAUGUAGCUGCUAGAAAAUUUAAAAUUACAUAUGUUUGCAUUUGUGUUGUGGCUUACAUUAUAUUUCUGUUGUACAGUGCUGCUCUGGAGUAUCAGAGCCUUAAAGGAAGAGAAUUUAUCUUGCUCAAAUUGUGUUCCUCACAGGUAUAGGGGCAAUAAUCGGCAUACUCUUUACAUGCUCAAGAGAACUCCAUUGACAAUAUUCAGUAUUUGAGAAUCUUCUAUUCCUUAUAUGAGAAUCAGCCUCUCUCUUGAGUCAAACUCCAAUUUCUGGCAAUUGAAAGGGGCAUUUUUAGUCGGAGAAAGCAGGAGGAGGUAGCCCUAGGCCAGGAAGUUGUGGGGGGUGAGAAUGAGCUAAGGAUGAACGACUGGGGCAUGCUUCUGCUAAAAGAAGGCAGCUUCGGAUAUGGUACAUUAUGAACCCUUGAGUCAAGGGGUUUUCUCUUUCCAUUUCUUGGAUCUGUUUCUCCUGUGUUUGCUCCAUAUCCGGCAGCCUCCCUCCUCUUCCACUGCUAGUAGCUUCCAGGACCAUGAAAGCCUUUCAGAUUUGUGUCCAUUGUGGGAAAAAAGGAAGUCUGUUUCCCUAAUAGCUGAAACAUAAGUUCAGAAAUUGUUCCUGAUUGGUAAACUGGGGUUAAACUCUAUGCCUGUCUUAGCCAGAGUCUUCUAGAAAACAGAGCCUGAGGCAAGGAUUAGAGUCCUUUUUUUUUUUUUUUUUUUUUAAUUUGGAAGGUGUUAAGCACGUGGUAGCAAGGAUAAGAAAAGAAAAGAGGGACGUGGAGCAAGUAACAAUGUAAAGCAAAUUGAAGUGGUAAGUUAUUGCACUGGGCUAUUGCCUCAUGUUGAGACGUGGUUCUCCCAAACUGAUUUCACAGUAAUUUUAUAAAAUUUAAACCCCACGUUGUCACUUUCUGGUCUCAAAUCCUAUAGGAUAAGGCUUAUCUCUUUAUUUAGUCAAUCCAGCCAAGAAUUCAAGGGCUCAUCCAAGAAAGGUAUAAAUUUUGUGAGGUGUAUCACAUGUCAUUUCCUUGUAUGAUGCAAACUAAAUCUGGGAGGAUGAGUAGGAGCUAACUAAAUAAAGAAGUUGGGCUGGGCACGGUGGCUCACACCUGUAAUCCCAGCACUUUGGGAGGCCAAGGAAGGAGGAUCACCUGAGGUUGAGUUUGAGACCAGCCUGGCCAACAUGGCGAAACCCAGUCUCUACUAAAAAUAAAAAAAUUAGCCAGGCACGGUGGCAGCACCUGUAAUCUCAGCUACUCGGGAGGUUGAGACAGUAGAAUCGCUUGAACCCAGGAGGCAGAGGUUGCAGUGAGCCGAGAUGGUGCUACUGCACUCCAGCCUGGGUGACAGAGUGAGACUCCGUCUCAAAAAAAAGAAAAAAAAAGAAAAAAGAAAAAAAAGAGAAGUUGGACAGAAGAGGAAAUUGCACCAUUGAGGACCAGAAACCAUGAAAUAGCAUGGAAUAUUUAGGGAACCAUAAGAUCUUUAUAGCUGAAGCAAAAUAUGCUUGGGUGGAAAUUUGGGAGCCACUUCUAGACAAAUAGGAGAUGCUCUAUACCAAGUGGUCUGUACUAAGAAAUUUACCUUUUUUUUUUUUUCUUAGACAGGGUCUUGCUGUGUCACCCAGGCUGCAGUACAGUGGUGCAAUCUUGGCUCACUGCAGCCUCUGCCUCCUGGGCUCAAGCAGUCCUCCCACCUCAGCCUCCCUCGUAGCUGGGACUAGAGGCAUGCACCACCAUGCCCAGCUAAUUGAAAAAAAAAAUUUUUUUUUUUUGAGACGAAAUCUUGCUCUGUCCCCUAGGCUGGAGUGCAGUGGCACGAUCUCAGCUCACUGCAACCUCCACCUCUCGGUUAAAGCGAUUCUCCUGCCUCAGCCUCCUGAGUAGCUGGGAUUACAGGCAUGCGCCAGUACGCCUAGCUACUUUUUAUAUUUUUAGUAGAGAUGGGGUUUCACCAUGUUGGCCAGGCUGGUCUCAAACUCCUGACCUCAGGUGAUCCACCUGCCUCAGCCUCCCACAGUGCUGGGAUUAUAGGCAUGAGCCACCACACCUGGCCUAAUUUUUAAAUUUUCGUAGAGAGAAGUUCUCACUAUAUUGCUCAGGCUUACCUUUAUCUUAAAGUAAUGAGAAAUCAUUGAGGGAUUUUAAGCAAUGAUGUGGUUUGAUUAGACAUAUGUUUUAGAAUGAUUACUCUAGAAGCAGUGGGGAGGCUAGAGAGAUUAAUCCAAACUACAAAUAGAAACACCAGUUUGGUAUCUUUUAAGCAGUUAGAAAGUGCUAAGAACCUGAUUAACACAUUGGUAAUGGGAAUGGAGAGAAAAAGAUAGACUGAGGAGAAUAUACAGGACUUGGUGACUGAUCGGGGGAGGUAAUGGAUGAGAGGAAGAAGUUUAAGCUGGAGAAUUGGGUAGAGGUAGUACCACUUCCUGGAUUACGGAAUACAGAUUUUAUUGAAAAGAUGAUGAGUUGAGUUUUGGACAUAUUGACUUUGAGGUGACUAUGGGAUAUCCAAGUGGAGAUAUCCAGCUGGACGUUGAAUACAAUGAUCUGGAGCUCAGGAGAGAUUUCUAAGAUAGAGAUACAGAGUAAGAAGUGUUGGGGCUGGGCGUGAUGGCUCAUGCCUGUAAUCCCAGCACUUUGGGAAGCUGAGGUGGGAGGAUCACUUGAGGCCAGGAGUUUGACACUAGCCUGGGCAACAAAGUGAGCCCCUAUAUCUACAGAAAAUGUUAAAAAUUAGCUGGGCAUGGUGAUGUGAAGCUAUAGUCUUAACUACUUGGGAGGCUGAGGUGGGAGGAUCGUUUGAACCCAGUUCAAGGCUGCAGUGAGCUAUGAUUGGGCCACUGCACUCCAGUCUAGGUAACAGAGCAAUGCCCAGUCUUUAAAAUAAAAAAUACAAAUAAAAUUAGCGUUUAAAAAAGAAGUGUUGGGAUGUCAAUAAAAUAAAUCAGACAGGCCAGGUGCAGUGGCUCACAGCUGUAAUCCCAGCACUUUGGGAGGCCGAGGUGGGCAGAUCACUUGAGGUCAGGAGUUUGAAACUGGCCUGGUCACCAUGGUGAAACCCCAUCUCUACUAUAAAAUACAAAAAAAUUAGCCAGACAUGGUGGUGCAUGCCUGUAAUCCCAGCUACUCGGGAGGCUGAGGCAUGAGAAUUGCUAGAACCUGGGAGGCAGAGGUUGCAGUGAGCCGAGAUCACGCCACUUGCACUCCAGUUUAGGGGACAGAGCGACACUUAAAAAAAAUCAGACAAAAUGUCUAGCUAGACAAGAGACUAUGCCUACUGACACCCCUAGAGAAAGACAUUUCUGUGAUCAGCAAAGGGAGGGAUUAGUGCCUAUGAGGUAAACAGAAUAAACAAACAGGCACCGAUAACAAGCCAAGUCAGUGGGUAGGCUCUGAAGCAUAACAUAAGGCUCCCUGGAGCAGUAGUAAACCUAAGAAGUAAACGUCUUAAAAAUGGCAAAGUGUGGCUAUAUUCGGCCAAUUAAAAGCAGGUAUAUGGAAAGCUACGAUGAAAAAUUUGGAAUAAAUGUGCUAAAAAAUGUGUCUCAGUUAUAGGAUAUGAGUAAUUGAAGAUGGUUAUUCUCCAUUUAUGGGUUUAGAUUAGGUGAGUUCCUAAACCUUUCUCAGUGCUAAAAUCCUGAUCCCAUGAGCUGGCAUUGAAGAAUGGUUAAGAUUUGGAACUCUAUAAACACUAAACCCUUCCUCUGGGAACUGCUCUCCUGCCCUUCCAGCCACUACUCCAUCCAUAUGGUUCCCAUAAAAGCUGACAUCUCUGCCUACAGUUGAUUUAAGGGUUGGCACCUGACCUAGCUGGGCCAAUAAGAAUCCUUACCCUAAGAAUUUUGCACUGGAAAUGAGAAAGAGAAGACAGCUUUUGUCUGGGUGAUGGAAACUGAAUAUAUGUAAAAUAUGGAACUGACAGUAACCAUGACUUGCAGUCAGGUGUUUAAAAAGGCAGGGCCAGAAUGAAGACAGAAACAGAGGUGAAAAAUGGAGAGGAAAAAACGAUUUGGGUUUCCCAAAGUCCUUCAAGACCUGGUCCUAGUCCACUGUUAGCAUGUAUCACAGCCCCUGAAUUCCAUGAGAUACCCCAAUAUCCUUCUAAUAACAUCAUCCUUCUUUGAGGCUUCAAGUAGCCCCAGUUGAUUUCUAGUUAUUUGCAACCUAAAGAAUCCUAACAUACUGACUUUGGUCAGAGCGCAUAUGGGAAGGAGAAAAGUAAAUGGAAGUUGAAGCUAUAAGGUAGGACUACACCUAAUGAUGAUCUUAAGUGCCAGGCUUUGGAUUGUAACUGAAGUAGCGGCUGUGGGGAGGGACCUGACGGGAAAUCCAUUAACACAGAAUCACUAAAACUUUCAUAGAAUGUUAUCAGAUUGAAAAAUAAAAUGUUCAAAAUCACUGGCCAGGCGCGGCGGCUCACACCUGUAAUCCCAGCACUUCGGGAGGCUGAGGCGGGCAGAUCACCAGGUCAGGAGAUCAAGACCAUCUUGGCUAACACGGUGAAACCCCGUCUCUACUAAAAAUACAAAAAACUAGCUGGGCGUGGUGGCGGGCACCUGUGGUCCCAGCUACUCGGGAGGCUGAGGCAGGAGAAUGGCGUGAACCCAGGAGGCGGAGCUUGCAGUGAGCCGAGACCGCGCCACUGCACUCCAGCCUGGGCGACAGAGAGAGACUCCGUCUCAAAAACAAACAAACAAAAAAAACAAAAUCACUGUGGUGCUGGCUUUGCUAUUUAGCUUUCACCACAUCAUAAGCAAUUUUAAUUAAUGCUCAUUCAUUUUUAUUAGAAAGUUGUGUCUCCUGCUGUCUCCUUCCAUGUGUUAACUAUAACUCACUAACACAAGCAUCCUGUAAAAUGCUAUGUAUGUUCAGACUAUCAGUCAUGGUAGACCCUGCCAUCCUAAAUACCUUGCCUCAAUCAUCAGUCCUCUUCCAUUCCAAUCAGGAGGAUUGCAGCCAAGAUUAUAUUCACAGCAAUGAGUCCUUUUAAAGAGACCGAUCCUUUUAUCUUUUAUAAUCUAAAAGAACCCGUUUCCUUAAAAAGACUCUCAUCCAUCAAAUAGUUCCAGCCUCAUAAGUCAGAGACUGAAGCAGUUGGUGGAAAGGUGUCUCCUCGAGCUGAGACUUUGGUGAACUUGGCUACCAAUCAAGAAGAUGCAGAUUCCUCUCUGGCUCCAGGUUUGGGAAGUGGUCACUGUUUCUAGGGGGUGCAGCUCAGCUGGUCCUUCUAGGCCAUGUUAUUGAAACAAGCUGAUGCCCCUCAGAUGGCAGACAGGUCUGUUGAUCCAGGUGUAGGAGAUGCUUCAGCAUCAGAUAUGGCUCCUACAGUUACAUAUCUUGCCGGUGGGAAAAUAAAUACGUCCAAACCUCUAUGAAGGUCCAUUUGCCAAUAUCCAUAAUAAAAACACAUAUACUCUCGGCCGGGUGCAGGGGCUCACACCUGUAAUCCCAGUACUUUGGGAGGCUGGGGCAGGUGGAUUGUUGGAGGCCAGGAGUUCAAGACCAGCCUGGCCAACAUGACAAAACCUUGUCUCUACUAAAAUACAAAAGUUAGCUGGGCAUGGUGGCACAUGCCUGUAAUCUCAGCUACUCAGGAGGCUGAGGCAGGAGAACCACUUGAGCCCAAGAGGCAGAGGUUGCAGUGAGCCGAGAUUGUGCCAUUGCACUCCAGCCUGGGAGACUAUGUUUCAAAAAAAAAAAAAAAAACAAAACCAAAAAACAAACAAAAAACCCCCCACACAUACUCUCUAACAUAGAAAUUCCAGUUCUAGGAAUUUACCCUACAUACUUACAUGUGUGUGAAACAAAAAUGUUGAAGAGGAAUGACAUCUAUGAUAUAUUGUUUGGUUUUUGUUUUUGAGACAGGGUCUCACUCUGUUGCUCAGGCUGGAGUGCAGUUGGUAUGAUCAUGGUUCACUGCAGCCUCAAUCUCCCAGGCUCAAGCAAACCUCCACCUCAGCCUCCCAAGUAGCUGGGACCACAGGUGAGUGCCACCAUCACACCUAGCUAAUCUUUAAUUUUUUUUCUAGAGACAGAGUAUCACUAUAUCGCGCAAGCUGGUCUCAAACUCCUGGGCUCAAGCAGUCCUUCUGUCUUGGACUCCCAAAGUGCUGGGAUUACAGGCAUGAGCCAAGGCAACCGGCCUAUAUUAUCAUGUAAUAAAAGUAACAUGCAGGCUGCGCGCAGUGGCUCACGCCUGUAAUCCCAGCACUUUGGGAGGCCGAGGUGGGUGGAUCACCUGAGGUCAGGAGUUUGAGACCAGCUUGGCCAACAUGGUGAAACCCCAUCUCUACUAAAAAUACAAAUAUCAGCUGGGUGUGAUGGUACGCACCUGUAAUCCCAGCUACUCAGGAGGCUCAGGUAGGAGAAUCGCUUGAACCUGGAAGGUGGAGGUUGCAGUGAUCCGAGAUUGCGCCACUGCACUCCAGCCUGGGUGACAGAGUGAGACUCUGUCUCAGAAAGAACAUGCAGAUGUGUUUGUAUAGGAGGUGGCCAUUUCUGCUUAAAAAGACAAAGGAGGCCAGGCGUGGUUAACUCAACACCUGUAAUCCUAGCACUUUGGGAGGCCGAGGUGGGCGGAUUGCCUGAGGUCAGGAGUUCAAGACCAGUCUGGCCAGCAUGGUGACACCCCGUCUCUACUAAAAAUACAAAAAUUAGCUAGGCAUGGUGGUGGGUGCCUAUAAUCCCAGCUACUCGGGAAGCUGAGGAAGGAGAAUUACUUGAACUCUGGAGGCGGAGGCUGCAGUGAGCUGAGAUCCCGCCACCACACUCCAGCCUGGACAAUAGAGUGAGACUCCGUCUCAAAACAAACACAAACAACAACAAAAAGACAAAGGAAAACCGUAUAUUUGUAUUCUCUUGGAUAUAAAUUUUAAAAAGCUGAAUGGAUGCACAAAAAAUUAUUAAAAAUGGUUGCCUCUAUAUAGAAAUCUAUGGUGGGAAAUACAGGAAGGCGGCUUUUCACUGCAUAUAAUUGUUUCCACUUUCUGGACUUUACACCAUGUGAAAGCUUUCCCCAUUAAAAAAUACAUUAUUUUAUUCUUUUUUGUAGAGACGCCUGGGAUUACAGGCGUGAGCCACUGCGCGCAGCCUGCAUGUUACUUUUAUUACAUGAUAAUAUAGGCCGGUUGCCUUGGCUCAUGCCUGUAAUCCCAGCACUUUGGGAGUCCAAGACAGAAGGACUGCUUGAGCCCAGGAGUUUGAGACCAGCUUGCGCGAUAUAGUGAUACUCUGUCUCUAGAAAAAAAAUUAAAGAUUAGCUAGGUGUGAUGGUGGCACUCACCUGUGGUCCCAGCUACUUGGGAGGCUGAGGUGGAGGUUUGCUUGAGCCUGGGAGAUUGAGGCUGCAGUGAACCAUGAUCAUACCAACUGCACUCCAGCCUGAGCAACAGAGUGAGACCCUGUCUCAAAAACAAAAACCAAACAAUAUAUCAUAGAUGUCAUUCCUCUUCACUAUAUAAAGUGCCUACUUAUUCUUUUCUAUAGCUGCCCACCUGAAAUGCAGUGGUGAUCACAGCUCAUUGCAACCUUGAACUCCUGGGCUCAGGUGAUCCUUCUGCUUCAGCCUUCUGCACAGCUAGGACUACAGGCGCAUGCUACCAUGCCUGGCUAAUUUUUUAAAAACUUUUUUGCAGAGAUGGGUCUUGCUAUGUUGUCCAGGCUGGUCUUGACUUCUGGCAAGUGAUCCUCCUUCCUUGACCUCCCAAUUACAGGCACAAGCCACUAUGCCUGGCCAAAAAAAUAAAAUUUUAAUUUAAAAAAUACGGUUGGUGAUAUUUUAAGCUAUAGUUCCCAAAUGCUGGUCUGCAAAUCAUGAAUACCCAUGAAGAAUAAUUUAUUAAUCCACCAUGAAAUCAGAAAAAAACUGUUAUGAAUUUUUCAUAAUGCUGAAUUCAUUUAAUUUUAAGGACCAGAUUUUAAUCUUAAGUACUUUUUAGAGGUGUUAGUAGUCAAUACCUGUCAAUGUAAUGUUUAUUUACAAUGGGAAAAAUUAAAAGUUGGCAUCAUUACAUCAAUUCCUCAUAUCUGAGUCCUGAAAUUUUAAAGCACUCUAAAUCACCAAUUUACACUUGGCUUUUGUUCUCAAGUCAAAUAUCUGUUUUUACACCUUAUUUCGGAAGGCGUUCCUCCUGUGUAUUUCAUGAUGUCGACUAAGUGAAGAGUUAUAGCUGAAGGCUUUUCCACAUUCGUUACAUUCGUAAGGUUUUUCUCCAGUGUGAUGUCUCUGAUGUUUUUUAAAGGAUGAAUCAUGCCUAUAGGCUUUUCCACAGCGGUUGCAUUCAUAUGCUUUCACUCCUGUAUGAACAGUUUUAUGGUUGCUAAGGUGUAUCCUCUGCCUAAAGGCUUUUCCACAUUCUUUACAUUUGUAGGGUCUCUCCCCAGUAUGGAUUCUCUGGUGAUGUGUUAGAUACGCUCUAUGACUAAAGGUUUUACAACAUGCAGUGCAUGCAUAGGGCUUCUCCCCGGUAUGAAUUCUUAUAUGUUCACUAAGGUGUCUAAUCUGUCUAAAGGUUUUCCCACAUUCAUUGCAAGUAAAAGGUUUCUCUCCAGAAUGAGUCCUCAAAUGUUGAACCAAGCUAAUGUUCUGGCUGAAAGCUUUCUGACAUUUAUCACAUACAUAGGGUUUCUCCCCAGUGUGAGUUCUAUGAUGCUGAUUAAGUGAUGAGCGAUGUCUGAAGGCUUUCCCACAUUCCUCACAUUCAAAGGGUUUCUCACCAGUAUGGAUUCUCUGGUGUGUACUGAGGGAUGCACUUUGACUAAAGGCCCUUCCACAUUCCUUACAUCUGAAAGGUUUCUCACCAGUAUGAAUUCUCAUAUGUUCAGUAAGGUGAAUAGGUUGUUUGAAGAUUUUUUCACAUAUAUUACAUUCAUAGGUUUUUGUUCUUAUGUAACUUGUUGGAUGAUUAAUCAAAUCUAAUUUGUAUGUGUUCCGCUUUGUAGGUGUAUCAUAUUUAUGGUGCCUCUGUUCAAUAAUAACAUUUGAAUGCACAAUGAUAUUUUCCCCAAAUUUGUUAGUUUCUUGGACUCUCUUCUUAUGGGUCAAGAUGGCUUGUCUCACAUCUCUCAUACAAGUUUCCUGGUGCCUUUCUAAGACAUCAUCAUAUGUGGAGACUUUUCUCAACGUGGAAUAAAUUAUAUCAUCCCUCAUGAAACUUUCCAUCAUAAUGCCAUGAUAUAAGCGCUCCUGUGAAAUGGUACUCUUUGCAGUUGACUCAAUGGUUUCUAUUUUACUCUUCAAGUCUGAAAGAAAUGAAAAAAAGCUUUAAAAACCAAUUACUGUAGUGGUUAUGGAACAGAGAUUUAGACAACAAUAUGGAUAAGUGCAUGAGAUUUUGACUAUAUUUAAAUAUGAUUAUGCUGCUUGGAGAGGUAAUGGGAAAGGAAAUUAAGAAACAGUGAAC
rnacentral:lncRNA from 1 species